CUAGAAGAGGCGGUUCUAAAUUUAGACUUGGCUAUCACUGCCUCGACGAAAUAGUCAAGUCAGUUGACUUGUGAUGCUUUGUGGAUGAGUGUGGACUUAAUUGUGUAUGUAGUUAACUAAAGGUGAAGUGAUAAGCUUAGUUUUGAACCAGUAUCCUGCUGAGUAUGCCUAGUGUUAUUGUUUCCUACUGAAUCCUGAACCCAGUUUCUUAGCCAGACAAUAAUAAAUGCCAUAGGCCUACCUAUGUUAGACCUACUUUACUAGCAAAAAUACUUGUUCUUACUUAGGCCUAAUUAUAUCAUGGCAGGAAUUCCAGAACCUGUAACAAAAUGUUUGGCAAUACUAUCUGCCGUUACAAAUGAUACAGAAAAAUUUGCCGCUUUGUUUAUGGUUACCAAACUAACUAAAGGCGACCAAUUGAAUUCAGAGUGCAAAAAGCUACUGUUUGAGGCAAUUGGAUUCAAGUUUUUGAAAAGAUUAUUGUUGAGCAAUGAAGUAGCAGCCGAUUGCCCACCAGUAGUUUAUAAAUCUGUCGCAAUAUCAGUUGUUUCAAGUUUUUGCUCUGAUGAAGCAGUUGCAACACACCCAGAAAUGUUGGCAAAUAUUCCAGUUUUUCUUGAAAUUGUACAGCAAGCUGACGAGGAUGACUAUGAAGACAAUUUAAUCGUCAUAAAUGAAACUUACCAGUGUUUGCAAAGCAUUGCCUCCUACCCAGCUGGACAAAAAGCUUUACUUGAUAUAGGAGCCAUUUCAAAACUUUCAGAAAUCUAUUCGCAACAGAGUUUUCAGACGGAUGAGGCGCUGAAUAUAUUGGUAAUGUUAGCUGAGAGGUUUGGACCUCUAGCUUGGGAUUCUAACAAUCCUAAACCAUUUCAUGGACUUGUUCAAAAAAUUGCUUUGGAUUUUGAAACGGAUAACAGUGAAAGAAAAUUCGAACUAUGCACCAUUCUUUUGGGACUUCUUCGUAGCUGUCCUCAGAGCAGUGUUGCAUCUACUGCCGGUGAUGAAAUAUGGCCAGGAUCUAUUCAUAAAGGCUUGAGUGAUAUUUUAAAAAGUAAAAUUGGCAAAUCUCAGCGAGACCCAGCUUUAAAGUUGGCUUCAGCAAUGCUAGAAGUUUUAGGUGCAGAAUGGUGUCUAACUGAUGACGACAAGCCAAAAAUAUUCUUUUUGCUCUUGAUUCAAUUAUGUUCUGUUGAAGUUCGUAUGCAGCUAGAGGAUAAGAAUUUAAAACAAGCAAUGGCUAAUGCCGAUUUAAUCACAGCUUGCUUCUCAAUGCUGGAGGUAUUCAUAGCAUUCAUAGCAAAUGAUACUCUGGAUCUGGAACAGAAAGAGAAACAACAAAUUUAUACAGCAUUGAAAGGAGCAUUUGCAGCAGUAAUAAAUCUCUUAAACAAAGUUUCGAAAGAUUAUCCAAAAGUAAAGGAUACUAUGCUGGUUCAAGAAAAGGUUUUCAUUUGUGCUAUGGUACGAGUUUUAUCAGCCUGGUUGGCCCAAGAAACAUCUGCAAUGAGAAAUGCAAUCUAUGAUUUGUUGCCUUUUAUGUUGACCUUAGCCAAUGAGACUUUUUAUGCCUCUAGAGCUCGGUACUUUGCAGAAAAAGCUAUGAAUGCUAAGGGAGAGUCUACCAUGGAUGUUGAAAUUGAUCCUUUAAGCCAAGUUGAUAUCUUAAGGGUUAUGUUGCCAGCCCUUUGCCAUCUAACAGUUGAAGAGAAAAGCCGUCAAAUUUUGUUGAGAGUCAAACAAGAUGAAGUUUUGCUAGAAUGUUUAACAUUCCACUGGUCAAUUGCACAUUAUAAAAAACCUCCUGUGCCCAAAUCGGAGCGAAAAAAAGUUCGUACAGAACCUGACCCACCCCUCCCACCAAAAUUAUUGGAAGACAUGAAGGAUUCAAGAGCGGCUAUGAUAAGUACAUGUAAUAUAUUUAUGAACAUAACCGUUUUAGAACCUAAAAUGGUUGAAGAGAGUCCUUUGUUUGAACUGCUGAUGAAAUUCACCUUCAACAAUUUACCAGAGUUAAAGAACACCCAAGAAAAUCUAGUGCUAUAUGGAAACAUGGCUGUUUUAGGUCUAUUGCUACUAAAACAACAAUCAAAACGGGUGAAGAAAAACGACUUCUCUAUUUGUCGAUACAUUCAAGCUACUAUACGCUUUUUAUGGGAUGCGUAUGUUAUAGAUGAAUGCAAUGAUCCACAUGCUCUUGUAGUUUCAAUAGAAUAUAAGAAAAGUUGGAUUGAACUGAUGGAGUUGUGGUUCCUAGGAAUGCAAACUCUUAGUGCCGUUCUUGCCCUUAUACCAUGGAUUUCUGAGUUUGCUAUUGAAAGCGGCUGGGCAGAGGGAAUAAUCGACAAUCUUCUUAAAGUGCGAUCAGGAUCUUUACCAGCAAACACCAAAUCUGCAUUUGAGGACUUCUUAUGCAAUCUUGUCGAAGCAAAUAACAGUGUCACCCAAGUGCUCAAGAAACGGGAUGCAUUGACUGUUUGUCGCAACCAUAGAUUGAUGGAACUUGGAAAGAAAUUGUUUGGGGAUUAAAAUUCCCAGUGCUCAAGGUCCAGUUAUUACUAGAUAUUUCCAAACCAUCAUUAAUAAAAGAAGUCAACUUUCAAUUUUUGAAUGAAGUCUAAACAAAAACAUUACUAUCCUACCACUUGAAAAUUAUUUUACAAACUAAAAAACCGCUAUAAAACAACUAAUCAAUUGUGUAGAAAAAUUGCUUACUAAAAACACAAGUAGAAUAAUAUUACCAAGAAGUGGUUUUAAGAUCAGUGUUCUGUGUUGAGUAACAUUUGUUUAUAACUCCUCGUGUUAAUAAUUAAAAUGAAAAAAAAAAAAAAACUAAAAACUAUUAGUGCAAUCUAAAAUAUACAGACUGUCGUGUAUUCUCCCUCUUCAUUGUACAAAAGCUACCUUACUCCCUGGUUGGCCCAGACAUGCAUUCGCAUCAUCGCCUCCUACCAGCUUUGCUCGUUGUUGGUAUCGAAAUAUCAUCUACCACAAAAUGAAGCUGAAUUGGCAACAGCCAAGUUUCUCC